UGUCCUCCAUAGGAGGUCUAUAUUGAGCAAAUCCUUUUUGGUAUUGGGUGGUGGAACCGGAGCGUGCUCCAUCCACUCCAUGCAUUGACCUGGUAUUGCAGUGCUUCCAGGACCGGUGC
rnacentral:snRNA from 1 species